GAUGAACGCUGGCGGCGUGCCUAACACAUGCAAGUCGAGCGAUUCUCUUCGGAGAAGAGCGGCGGACGGGUGAGUAACGCGUGGGUAACCUGCCCUGUACACACGGAUAACAUACCGAAAGGUAUGCUAAUACGAGCUAAUAUGCUUUUUUCGCAUGGUAGAAGUAUCAAAGCUCCGGCGGUACAGGAUGGACCCGCGUCUGAUUAGCUAGUUGGUAAGGUAACGGCUUACCAAGGCGACGAUCAGUAGCCGACCUGAGAGGGUGAUCGGCCACAUUGGAACUGAGACACGGUCCAAACUCCUACGGGAGGCAGCAGUGGGGAAUAUUGCACAAUGGGCGAAAGCCUGAUGCAGCAACGCCGCGUGAGCGAUGAAGGCCUUCGGGUCGUAAAGCUCUGUCCUCAAGGAAGAUAAUGACGGUACUUGAGGAGGAAGCCCCGGCUAACUACGUGCCAGCCGCCGCAGUAAUAC
rnacentral:rRNA from 1 species